rnacentral:sRNA from 1 species
GUCCUAUCCUACGCGGCGGAAGCGUGUGCCCUUUGACUUGCAUCGUCUACCUACCUCUGCCAUCCUCUACCAGCCGCAACUGCGAGGGCUGGAGUUUUUUACAGGAGUGGGACAACGCUGGCAAAGUCGCAAGGAGUCACAUCCUCGACAAGUUCAUUGAAACCAACCAAGGCAAGACUGCCCCUGAACUGGAGCAGGAGUUUUCCCAGGGAGCCAGUUUGUUCCUGGUGUACGAUCCAUAGCAGAAUUUUUGGCAAAGUCUAAGUCAGAAGAGACCCAGGAGGAAGUGCAGGUUCUGUUGGAUUCUUUGGUCCACGGCAAUCCCAAGUACCAAAAUCAAGUGUAUAAAGGUCUAAUAGCUUUGCUGCCCUGCGAGUCCCCGAAAGCCCAGCAGCUGUCCCUGCAGACUCUCAGGACUGCCCAGCCAAUCAUUGGGACCACACACCCCAGCAUCGUGGACUGCGUGCUGAAGGUGCUGGGCACGAUGCACCUGGAAGUCCAGUAUGAAGCCAUCGAGUUGAUCAAGGACCUGGUCGGUUACGAUGUGCGCCAGGCGCUGCUCAAAGGCCUCGUGGCGCUGCUGAUACCGUCGGUCAAGGAGACCUCCAAACUGCAGGCCAAGAUCCUCAGUGGUAAGGACCUGCUCAAAUGGGGCUGCCUGGGCCACGGGAGGGCGGUCUCUUGCCUCACGGCUGCCCCCUCCUCAGACCCCUCGGUUCUCCAGCUCACCC